UGAGAAACACUUAUUUGAUAAACUAUGAAAUGCUAUAGUAGCACAAUAAAUUAAAAGGGAAAUGCAGUAAUUGUUUUAUAGCUAGUAAAAUGUUCAAUAAGUAUUAUUUUUUACAACAUAAGGGGUAUUUCAGAGAGUAAGAAUAAAGUUCUUUUUUAAUUAAAAAGACACCUGUUCUAAAUUUUUAUUAAGAUCAUUCCCCUGCAUCAAGCUUGAUAAUCCUGCACUCAAUCUACACAAAGGUACAUACAUAAGGUAUAUAUUAUAUACAUGCAAAUAUAGGUAUAUAUUGUAUGUAUAUAUAUGUAUGUGUAUUUAAUAUAUUUCUAAGAAUAUAGUAUCAUGGUUAACAAAAUUAUUGAUACUAAGAUAUUAUGAAAGUAGGGGAUUAGAGGGAAAAAAUUGUUUUACUAAAUGUAGUUUUCAGUCAAAUGUCCUAGAAAGCGUUAUUUAAAAAACACAUUAAUUCACAUAAAAUAUCUGCUCUAUUAAGUAACCAUUCUCCUGAAUCACCUUCUUGAACAGUUCAGGAAUUUUGCAAUGGCAGUCUGUGCUGCAAAGUGUAAAUUCUCCCAAGAAAGUUGUGUUUUUUUUUUCCAAAAAGUUUUGAACAAGUUUGAAAUGAAAUGUCUUUGUGCUUACAUUUUCUUAUAUAACAGCCUGGCCUUUUCCCAUAUUAUUUCACUGCUUAGGGGCAUGUUUCUCUGGGUCUGGUCUUUAUCUGUGUUGAAAAGGUUUUCAAGAAGCAUCUGAAAGUCUCCUUUUUCUCCCCCACACCACAGGCUUCACCAGAAGCUGGCAGGGAGAAAAGCCGGAGAAGCAUUAGCUGCUGUUGGAUUGACCUGGCGGAACUAAAGAAAGCAAAUGUAAAAUAGAAAAGAUUUUAAAUUGGUGGUUAAACAAACAAACAAAAAACAAACCAAUAAUCCUGCAUUAUCUCAAAUCCAUGUUUAAUAAGGGUGUGUGUGUGUGUGUGUGUGUGUGUGUGUGUGUGUGUGUGUAUCCAUGCUCCUUUCAGUGGAUUACAAAGUCAUCAGGAAAUAGCUACCAAGGAGAGUGGUAACACAAAGAUAUUUCAAACCCAACACUUCCAAAAUGGAACUCAUUAUUUUUCCCUUAAAACUCCUCUUGUGUUUCGUAUUGUCAGGACUAUUAUCUUAGAUGCUCAAAAUAGAAAGCUCAAAGCUCUGCUUUGACUGCUCUAGUUCCCCCUGCUUCCUUAUCCACUCAGGCACUACUGAUCCAUAUCCAGGGCAUCUGUCAAUCCCACCCGCUUUGCACAACCCACAUCAGUUUCCAGCUACACUCUUGGGACAGCCACCUGACUGGCCUCGGAUUAUAACCGCUACCUCUUCACACCAUCAUCGCACUGCUAGAGCCAUCCUGCUAGAGCAUACAUUUGUUCCUAAAGCAAUCCUGCUGCAAUUUUUUAGUGGUCCUUGAAAUAGUCACAUGCAUUCCAGUAUUACCAGAUGCCAGUCAUUGUAAAAAAGCUUUACACCUAUUACCUUACUUUCUCUUCAUGACCAUCCUAUGAGAUAGGCACAACUAUUACUGGCACUUAGAGAGGAGAAAAUAAAUGCAUACAGAAUUUAUAUAGCUUGUUCAUGGUCACUGGAAUGGCAGAUGGCAGAACCAGUGUUCGUCUCAGAUUGUCAAAGGCCCUUGACUGCUCCAUGAUAAACCUUUCCUCCAUCUGACUCCCAAAUUACCCUCCAGUCUCUUUUGCAAGGAGCUCAUAGACUGUGAUGUUCUCACAGUCAGUGACUGCACAUCAGAGUUGAAAGCUCUUUAGCCCACUGGAUAGAAGGUAAGGUGAGGGCUCAAAGGCUCUCGAAGUCACCACCUCCCUCCAUAUAAGUGCACCUCUUAUGACCCACAGGGUAACAGAAAUAUCCAAAGCAAGGAAAAAUUAGCUCACUACAUGUUGCAGAGCUUCUUACAAUACUCUGUGCCUGUAGGAUACGGGAUCACAUUUCAAACCAUUGCUUUGCAGAUAUCAAUCGCACACUACUAAUCAGCUCUGCCUCAGCAUCUCUCUCCACAGUUCAUUCAUGAGAACCACUUGAUGAAGGCCAGGCAGAGAAGUAGUAAAGAGACACAAGUGUGGGGACAGAAUAACGUGCAGGGCAGUUGCUAUCAUGGACUUUUUUUUAUAAAGGACCAUCCAUCUGAAUUGUUAUGGAACUUAUAAGAAGAGAUAGUUAUAUUGAAAAAAAAAAGAGGAAUAGUUUAGAUAUUGCUAAAAUUGCCCUGUCAUAUUCCACAUACACUAUUUGAUAAAUAUUUUAUUGUUAUUCCAGGAAAAGCUUUUAAAGAAAUACAUAAGCCACAAUUAUGGGCAAGGGAUGUCUCCUUCUCAGAGAUAGUAGGCAGGUCAGCUCUUUGCUUCUAAGGAUGGUGUGGACAGACUCACAAUGGGAUGCUUGCUGAAAUCUACACACAAACAUGGAAAGAGCCAGAGUCCCUUCCUAUUUGUUUUUUUUUAAAUUCGAUAAAUUUUACUAUAUUUAUAGUUGUACAACCAUCAUCACAAUCUAAUUUUAAAACAUUUCCAUCCCAACUUCUUUGUUAACAGAAAACACACCCAAGUGUCUCAGCCUCUGUGUGAUUUGAAUAAAUCAGAGGCACUUGGCUUAUGUGAACCCACUGUUGCAUUUCUGUCUAACAAAUUAUCCAAACCCCAACACAGAAAGCCCUUCAUCCCAGCACAGAAAGCCCUGCUGGAAGAAGGCCUGGCUCCUCCUAAGUUGGUCCAAUCGUUAGAACUGGUGCUCAGCUCUGAACUUACUGGCUUUUGUUAUCAAGGCCUAAAUCUAUUUCUGGUUGGAAAAAUUUAGGCAGGUAUUCAACAUCAUUAUCUUGUUUAAAUCACAUUGGAAAAACUGCAGUACUCUAAGUUAACUGGGCGUUUUGGUAUAACGUUAAAUAUAUUUCGAGGGUUUUUUUGGGGGGGCCACUUAUGAGAACCAUCUUAAAUGUCUUCCUUACAGGGAAUAGAGUUUAUUGAAGAGGGGUGUGUGUGUGUGUGUGUUUGUGUGUGAGAGAGAGAGAGAGAGAUAGAUGUUUACAUUGCCAUGCUAUAAGACAGGCUGCUUAUAUCAUCAAGAAAUUACAUGAAAAGUGAUCAUUGACAGCCAAGUAACCAUUAUAAGAAAGGUGUUAUUUCUACAAUAUUCAAAAGAUGUCAUUUAAAAGCCUAUUAUUCCACCCAUAGAUAUAAUAUCUAUAUUUGGGAUUCCACCUAAAAUUUGAAAUGAUCUAGAAAUUGCCACUUUAAAAGCCACUUGACACAGUGCAUAAAUAUUCUUAAAUGUGUCAUGAGAAGGGGUGUUUUAUUAAUGGCGUUUAAAAGCAUAAACAAAUAUAAGUAAAAUUGUGACAACACUUAUCCCCCAAGCUAUAGUUAGCCAAAAAGUAAAUCAUAAACCUUAGCAUUUUUUUUAAAACCUACAGAAAGGCUGCUGCGCAGUACUUUCUUUUUUUCUUAAAUGGCCUUUAAAUAAAUAUAUGAGUCAGUUAAGAAAGGCAUUUACUUGAAUUAAAGUGAUAAUUCUGCCAGGACGUCAGUAUAAUUAAUUGUGGGUGGCAGAAGUUUUAAAUGAGGCUAAGUUAGGGAUUCCAGUUUAUUUAUUUAUUUUUUACUCACUCUACUGCUGUAAUUAGAGAAGCUUUUGGUUGAUCUUGAAAUUGUGCCUUGUCAUGGAAUAUCAUACCUGCGUGCUUUUAGGACAAGCCCUAUGGCAUAUUUUUUUAAUGAUUGAGAUGGGGGGUUAAUGCAUAUGCAUCAGUCUAGCCUCUUCCUACUACUACUAUGCACAUGCACACACACACACACACACACACACACACACACACACACACACAUACCCUAAUACGUGUUUCUUUCACAGCCUCAACAUUCAUCCCUAAUAAGGUACUGUUCCAAUUUAUUUCAAUGCCUUCAAUGUCAAAUGCAAAAUUAUUUUAGUCACAGACUUUUACUCCUGAUAAGUGAUUUCACAAAAGAACUCAAAAUACUCUCCCUUCAACAUCUCUGCUUGCCUGCACUAACCUGUGUCGAGGAUGGAAACAGCUACAUUUCAUAAACAAAUAUGAUUUACUAAAAAUGGGUGGUCUUAUCAUACAGAAUGUAUUUUAAAGGAUGUAUCCUCUUAGCAGAGCUGACCGGUCUCAGGCUCUGUGGGGCACCACUGUAAAACUGGUAUCCGCUGAAUGACUGAACCAAGAAUGCCUUUCAGGAGGCAAAGAAUCCAUAACAGGUUUGGGAGAUUCUGUGUUUAGCAUCAGUACCGCAAUGAGGAGUAAACCCAUCGUGUGUAUCUUCUAAAAGUUCAACACAGCAAAGAAAAAAAGAAAAAGUUCUGCGUGAGAAGUAACUGCAUGCUAAUCAUUUGAUUGACAUAAGAAUACUUCCGUAGCCACUGAUGUCUAGCUGUCAAGUAAAGAUAUUGACAACAAAUACAUUUUUAAAAGGUACAUGAUUGGCCACUCAUGUCUGUGUUCCGAAAUUAAAAUACUGGAGCAUACUGGCACAGCCCCUACAUCGCAUUCUUACAGGAAGACUAAGUGUCAGCCACAAGAAUUCCUCUGCUCUUAACAGUCUGCACAACGUAAUGUUGAAAAAGCAUUUCUGUUCAGCUCAUUAACACAUCUACCUUUUGCCCCCUGCCCUUAGUCAUAGUUUUAUCAUUAACUCUAUGCCUUUUUCACCCACUCCUCUGAGCACAAAAGGAUCAAACAGCACGCAUUCGGCAGCCGAAAUAGCAGUGCAGGUUUCUAAAAGGUGAAUGUGGAAUUACAACCUGCAUCCCCAAUUCCUGAACUUCAAAGCAAACCCUAAUUGCCUUGUCGACAAUGCAGCAGGGUUAACGCAUCUCACAUCUCCCGGUCUUGGAACAUUUAGGUACAGAAUAAGACCAACAAACAGGCAAACCUUGUGCAGCAAAAGAUGCAGACUGCCACCGAGCCCAGAAGCUAUGAAGGAUUACAUGCUCGCUUUACCUACCGGCAUUGUCCAUGUCUCAGUAGCGGUGAGGCGAGUUCUGGAGCCUGGCAGCUGGGAAGCCCCGGCUCUUCUCCUGGCUAACGAAGCACCCUGCCCUUCUGCUGAUUAUCAGUCCUUGCUGGCACACAGAGCAUACUUCAUGCACUGUCUGCAGGAGACACCGCCAGGAAAUUUAUAUCUCCAAGGAUGACAAACAGCCAUUAGCUCCAUUACAGGCUGAUUAAGAGAGACUGAGCCUAUCAAGUGGAUACUUGAAUCCACUGGGGUUUUCACCUCUGUUCCAAGCAAAGGAGGAAAAAAAAAAUCACUGCAAUGUUGAGAGUAUUGCACAUUUCUGAAAAGCAGUGAACAUGCUAUGCAGAACACAAUGCUUUUCCAAAAGAUGCCAGAGCAAGCGUGAGCAGGAAAAGGCACAGAUAAUGAAAAGGUAAAGAGAAAUUUUAAAAAUGAGAUAAAUUAUUAUCCUUUUUUUGGGGGGGGUACUAAUCUAAAUGUGGUCCAGCCUUUAUCACCAACAUCAGUGGAUGACUGGGCAACUUUUCAAUUUGAAAUUUUAAAGUUUAUUUUUGGUUAUUGUUGUUGUGUUAGGGGUGGGCAAGGAAUAGCAGAUCAAACAUGUUAAGAUAAAGGCAACCUUUAAUAUUUCUGCUGUAAAUAAAUGCUGACAACUGAGCAUUUUCAUUUCACUUUGGUUAUGUUUUCAUCCUGACUAGUCUUUCUAUUUCUGAUCAGAAUUUCUGCCCACCUCUGCUAACAGAAAUUCAAAGGGAUUGCACUAAAUGUCACUAAUAACACAAGAAUUAAUUGUCAAAAGACUUCAGGGGACCCUACAGCAUGUUACCAUCUGUAGCCAUCUAAAGUAACAGAAAUCUAAGGAUCAAGGAAAAUGCAUUUGCUAGCACAAGAAUGCCCAUUCCACUCCUUUUCUUUAAUUUAGCUCUAGAAAGAUGACCCUCAAAGACACUUCUGGGGUCAGGGUGCUGAAACAGUCCUGGGCCAUGCCCCGAGGCUGUUGUGACAUUAGAAUCAGGGGAAAGUGCAAAUCUGUUUACUGCAUUUACUCUGACGUAGGAAAAAAAAAAAGUAUAAUGGCCUCAUUUGGCCUAUGACACAAUGAUUCCAUAGUACAGUGAGGCUCUACAGGUUUUACACUCUGACAAGUUCUUAAACAGUUUUGGUGUUAUUAGACACCUAGUGUUGUUAAAUUUUAUAAAGCAAUUCACUUAUUUAGUAUUUAUUUAUGCCUAGUGACAGACAACUUGAAAAUUAUUUACAAUCUAUUUCAACAGCUUCUAAGUGGCUUCCCCCCCCCUUCACCACCACUCCCCUUCAGCCAUGCCCACAGCAUAAGGAAGUUCUCAGGCCAGGGAUCGAAUCCUAGCCACAGCUACAACUGCAACGCUGGAUCCUCAACCCACUGCACCAGGCCAGGAAUUGAACCCUCGAUUCUGCAGCAACCAGAGCCACUGCAGGAGGAUCCCUUUUUUCUCUUUUGUCUUUUUAGGGCCGCACCUGUGGCAUAUGGAGGUUCCCAGGCUAGGGGUCAAAUUGGAGCUACAGCUGCCAGCCUACACCACAGCCACAGCAAUGCAGGAUCCAAGCUGUGUCUGCAAACUACACCAC
rnacentral:lncRNA from 1 species